GAGCUUAGCCAUCCAGAAUUGAUCAUCAAAUCUGAAUUAGCUCAAAAAGUAAAUUGGGUAAAACACCAAAAUAAAAAUGACUUACUAAACUUAAAUCAAACCACACCCAAUCCGACAUAACCGAACCCGACUCGCCUUAACACCUUGGUUACCCCCCCUUCAUUAACCAACACUCCGUAUAUAAAUAGCCUUUCUUGCUUCAUCUCCUUGCUACAAAAAUAAUUGAACAAUGGCGCAACAAGGACAAUACGCAUCGAUCCCCAGCCUCCAACCAUACACACAACACCAUCAAUACAUCCCACCACCACAUCCACCGCUUCAACCACCGCACCCCUCCCACCACCAACCCUUAAACAUCCCUUACCACCACCAAUACCACCCUCACCACCACCCUUCUCAUCAAUACCCCGAUUAUGGCUCUGUUCCUCAGCUUCAACACAUGCCUUUACCCCCAAUUCAAUACCCUUCUUACCCUCAACCCCAUUACUCUGAUCGGCCGUCUUCGAAACGUCCCCGAGAACCCGUUUCGGAUUUGGCUGAGGUUCCUUCCACGAAACGCCAAGCUUUGGGGAAUGAUAUUUUGUUUAGGGUUGUUGUUCCUUCUGGUCAAAUUGGGAAGGUUAUUGGGAAAGGUGGUCAUAGGGUUCAGAAGAUUAGGGAUGAUACUAAGGCUACUAUCAAAAUUGCUGAUCCUAUUGCUCGAUACGAGGAACGUGUUAUAAUUGUUAGUUCUAGAGAGAAUGAAGCUGGUGGUAUCAGUGAUGCGGAGAAGGCUUUGCUUCAGAUUGCUUCUCUCAUCCUUGCGGAUGAUGGAAGCAGUGCACCUGCACUAAGCAUUGCUGCUGCAACUGAUCCUUAUGCUGCUGCUGCUGGCAUCAGCGGAGGACAUGCAACCACAAAUUCAGUAAAGCUAUUAAUAGCUGGUUCACAAGCUGGUGGCUUAAUAGGAGUGUCAGGUCAGAACAUUGAAAAGCUUAGAAACUCUUCUGGUGCCACAAUUGCUGUUCUGGCGCCAAAUCAAUUGCCUCUGUGUGCAUCUGCUCAUGAAUCUGAUCGCUUGGUCCAGAUAUCAGGUGAAGUUUCUGCUGUAAUGAAAGCCGUGGAGGAGAUUGGUGUUGAACUUAGGCAAAACCCACCCAAGCAAGUAAUUUCAAUCAGCCCAACAUACAACUUGAGCAUUGCUCGAGCAGCUCAGAAUUAUAUGGACCCAAAUGCUGCUGAAUAUGUGACAUUGGAUAUGGUGAUCUCGGAAACAAUGGUGGGUGGCUUGAUUGGCAGAGCUGGUUCCAACAUAUCAAGGAUUAGAACUGAAUCUGGUGCAAUGAUUAAGGUAUUUGGGGGAAAAGGUGAGCAGAAACAUAGGCAGCUCCAGCUUAUUGGCUCAGCUCAGCAGGUAGCCUUGGCGAAACAGAGAGUUGAUGAAUACAUAUAUUCUCAGUUGACACAACAAACUGGUGCUGAGCAGUCAGUGUAAAUGUUCAUCCUUAUCACUCUUUUAUCAUCUGCCACUACUUUACGCUUUAAGAUUGCCACAGUGAAAGAGAUAAAGUUUGCCGCAUGCGUACUCUUGCGCUUCUUGUCAAUGUAUCUAUUGGUUUAAAUAUGACCUACAACUUUUACUUUGAAGAGCAAGCAAACCGGAUCACAUUCAAGCCAUGCAUAAACUUAAUCGUUGACAUUUCCCUGGUUUAGAUCUGUACUUUUGAGUUAGGUCUUUACUUUCAAUGAUAAACGCCAGGAGACUCCUCAGACUAGCAUAGUUGACAUAUUGAUUGUUACAUGAACAUUAUCUUGUAUUAGACCUGGUGUAGUGGUGUGUGUAGACGCAUUCUUUUGGAUACAGUAUUGUAUAACAUACUCUCAGUUUUGACUAUGGAAGUUUCUAUGUGUAAAUUCAUGAGCAGAUUUUAGUUUAUUAACGCUGUUAUGUCUUGGAAAUACUCUUUGGAAAGUUUUAUUGCCAUAGGCCAAUAACCCAGCAUUUUUUCUUUA